CCUACGGGUGGCUGCAGUAGGGAAUCUUCCACAAUGGACGCAAGUCUGAUGGAGCAACGCCGCGUGAGUGAAGGAGGUUUUCGGAUCGUAAAGCUCUGUUGUUGGUGAAGAAGGAUAGAGGUAGUAACUGGCCUUUAUUUGACGGUAAUCAACCAGAAAGUCACGGCUGACUACGUGCCAGCAGCCGCGGUAAUACGUAGGUGGCAAGCGUUGUCCGGAUUUAUCGGGCGUAAAGCGAGCGCAGGCGGAUUGAUAAGUCUGAUGUGAAAGCCUUCGGCUCAACCGAAGAACUGCAUCAGAAACUGUCAAUCUUGAGUGCAGAAGAGGAGAGUGGAGCUCCAUGUGUAGCGGUGGAAUGCGUAGAUAUAUGGAAGAACGCCAGUGGCGAAGGCGGCUCUCUGGUCUGUAGCUGACGCUGAGGCUCGAAAGCAUGGGUAGCA
rnacentral:rRNA from 1 species